rnacentral:pre_miRNA from 1 species
CUUCGAUAUACCUACUUCUUUACAUCCUCAUAUACAGCAGAUUGGGUUUCGCAGUAAAGGGAAUUUUUCCAUAAAAACUGCACCAAUUCAUAUGGAAUGUAAAGAAGUAUGCGUAACCGGG